rnacentral:rRNA from 1 species
AUACGGAGGAUGCAAGCGUUAUCCGGAUUUAUUGGGUUUAAAGGGUGCGUAGGCGGUUUGCUAAGCGGGAGGUGAAAUGCCGGCGCUCAACGUCGGAAGUGCCUCCCGAACUGGUGGACUUGAAUGACUCUGCCGUGGGAGGAAUGUGUAGUGUAGCGGUGAAAUGCUUAGAGAUUACACAGAACACCGAUUGCGAAGGCAUCUCACGAAGAGUUGAUUGACGCUGAGGCACGAAAGCGUGGGGAUCAAACAGGAUUAGAUACCCUGGUAGUCCACGCAGUAAACGAUGAUGGCUAACCGCUGGGCUUAUCAGUUCAGUGGCCAAGCGAAAGCGAUAAGCCAUCCACCUGGGGAGUACGACCGCAAGGUUGAAACUCAAAGGAAUUGACGGGG